GUAGACGCUAUACUCUAAGAUUAACCCAUGCAUGUUUAUUGAAUAUAAAGAAAAGACGAACAGCUCAGUAACUCUUAUUUGAUUUGAUGUAUUAGGAUUCUAACUAUGUUAAAUUAUAGGUAACAAUAAUACAAUAAGAAUAAGAUCUAUCAGUUAGUUGUUAAGGUAAUGGCUUAACAAGACUAUGACGGAUAACGGUAUUACUUUGUAAUAUUCCGGAGAAGGAGCCUGAGAGAUUGCUGCUAAGUCUAAGGAUUGCAGCAGGGGCGAAACUUGACCUAUGAUAUUAUAUUGAGGCAGUUAUGAGUAGUAUUUUAUAAUUAUUGUAGUAUUGUAAGUACAUAUUACAAGAUAAAUCGGAGGGCAAAUCGAGUGCCAGCAGCCGCGGUAAUACUUGUUCCGAUAGUGUGUAUGAUGAUUGAUGCAGUUAAAAAGUCUGUAGUUUAUUUGUAAUAAGCAUUGUAAGGUAUACUGUAUGGUUAGGAGAGAGAUGAAAUGUGAUAACCCUAACUGGAUGAACAGAAGCGAAAGCUGUAUACUUAAAUGUAUUAUUAGAACAAGGACGUAAGCUAGAGGAUCGAAGAUGAUUAGAUACCAUUGUAGUUCUAGCAGUAAACUAUGUUGAAUCAUAGAUAUAUUUUGAUAUAUAUUUAUGUAGAGAAAUUAAGAUUAUAUUGACUCUGGGGAUAGUAUGAUCGCAAGAUUGAAAAUUAAAGAAAUUGACGGAAGAAUACCACAAGGAGUGGAUUGUGCGGCUUAAUUUGACUCAACGCGGGGUAAUUUACCAGGUAUAACAUGAUAUAAUAUUUUAUCAUGAUAGUGGUGCAUGGCCGUUUCCAAUGGAUGCUGUGAAGUAAUGAUUAAUUUCAACAAGAUGUGAGACCCUCAUUUAGACAGAUGUAGUGAUACAUAUGAAGGAGAGGAUUAAAACAGGUCCGUUAUGCCCUAAGAUAAUCUGGGUUGCACGCGCAAUACAAUAAUAUUUGAUAUUAUAAGGGAUAAUAUAAUGUAAGAUAUAUUUGAACAUGGAAUUGCUAGUAAAUUUUAUUUAAUAAGUAGAAUUGAAUGAGUCCCUGUUCUUUGUACACACCGCCCGUCGCUAUCUAAGAUGGUAUUAUCUAUGAACAAAUUUAUAAAGUGAAUAGAUAGUACUAGAUCUGAUAU
rnacentral:rRNA from 1 species